UGAACGAUUCUUGAGGGCCAAAGAGUGACUCGACUGGUCGUCGUCACGUGACUACGCAUGCAGUGACGUAGGGAGAACCGCGGCGAUACUUGGCGCUGUCAGAUCGUAUAGGACAAGUAAAAUAGGACGCGCGAUAGCGUUUAUCGUGGACUAAUGGAGCGUUCAGUGAUAGAACUUGCCGGCUUUGACAGUGUUGAAUGACUUCUCUAUGAUCGACGGAUGCCCCUUCUAGAGGAUUUCGCGGAAAUCCAACCGAAAGAUUGGCUGAGAUUCGUGAAGUUGUAAUUGGAUAAGUUUGGGGGAGAAAUGGGAAUUUUGUGCAUCGAGUGUUUCAAAAAUGGUGCAUAAAAAUUCGCGUAUAAAUCUUGUGUGUUAAAAUAAGUAUAAAGUCCGUACGAAUGGAUCUCGAUAACAAAAACAUGAAUUUGAAUGGACGUUUUAAAAAUGAGGAAUGUAUAGGGUGUGUCGAAAGUUUUGAACAAGAAGUUUUAUAUAGAAUAACGUUUAAAGUAAUUCGAGAACGAGGAACUUGGAAUUGUCGAAACUGUGACAGAGAACAUUCGAAAAUAACGCGGAAUUUCGUGACGAUAUUUCAGUCGACGGUAGAAGAAAAAUAUUCUUGUAUUUAAAGAAUAUAAAAUUUCUGCUUACGCAGGUUACGUUUGCUAAAAAAAUUACAUCGCUAAAAUAAGAACAAGAUUCUAUAUUUACGCAGUUCUAAAGUUUGCACGAAAUUUGAAAAAUCUGCGAUGAUCAUGAAUGGACGUUCUCAGUAAGCACUGAAAAAAAUAGUAUAGCAGACACUGUUACGAGAUCUUAUAAAUCGUAAGUAACUUUAAAAAACUCAGACUCACGGAGAAACUUUUCGAAAACGUGCUAUUUAUAGAGAAACAAAUCUGUAUUAUUAUAGAACGUUACUUUAAUAACUGUAAAAUUUUCUAGGGCAGUCUUUUUUGCAACCAUUAAAUUAGUUUAAUUAAAUUACAGAAUAUUUCACUGAUCGAAAAACAGAAAAGUUUUAUCAUUAUAUUAUUAGAAUAAACCUUAAGAGAGCUAAUAAUCGAAAGAACUUUCCCGCAGACGUAAACCUUAUCUCGUUUUAUCCUCCUAUAACGUCAGAGUACAUAGUAAAAAGCAUUUCAGUUCAUCUUCAUAAAAAAAUGGUAUCACAUGCUUCAUUACCAACACUAUCGUAAAAACGUAACAAGAAAAGGAGACGCAAGACUCAACUAAAAAUGCUCGCUAAAAGCAUAGUGUUCUGGAAAAAGAAAGUAUGUCGCGUCAUCCAUCAAUCCUGUUCUCAUACGAGUUCUUACAAAAUUCAGCUUCUGUGUGAUUUUUACGAAAGCGGUAGACACAUGGUCGAACACGUGUUACGUAGGAAGCGUGUCUGGGGAAAUUUUAGGACCGAAGUCGAAUAGGAUAGACCCGAUCAUGUAAAUUUUAGGACACAAGGUUUUCUAUCGAAAA